UCUGUGGAUCAGUUCAUGGAUGGACUCAU
rnacentral:piRNA from 1 species